rnacentral:Y_RNA from 1 species
GGUUGGUCCGAGUGCAGUGGUGUUUACAACUAAUUGAUCAUAUCCAGUUACAGAUUCCUUUGUUCCUUCUCCACUCCCACUGCUUCACUUGACCAGCCUUAA